rnacentral:tRNA from 1 species
GGCCUCAUAGCUCAGCUGGUAGAAGUGCGCUAAACGAAAGCGUAGGUGGCGUCCAUGCGUGGGUUCGAAUCCCAUCGAGGCUA